UCUGACCAAAAAAAAAAUUUAAAAGUCAAAGCUACUACAACAAACUAAGUAGAAAGGAAAUACUUAUGAGUAAUUAGCCAUGGGAAAACCAUUGCGAGGGUAGACGUCCGCAGCCAUUGCGGCAACGACGAGCUAGAAGAGUUUCACGUAUGCUCCUAUCGAUCUGUGAAAAGACAGGGGCAGGAGAAGUUGAGAUGUUUUCGUGGAUUCUGAUGUUUCUUUCUUUCCAUAGAUAGAAGAAAAAAGCUUGAUCUGCGACUACAAAAUCCCCCUACUCCGGCGGAAACACAUUGAUCUCGUUACUGAAAACUGAGAUUCCUUAAACACCCAAGCCCUCCAAUCACUUUUGGAAUCAAAUCGAAGUUCUUUUAGACAAAAUAAAGAACCCGAGAAAAGGAACCAAGCCCAGAAACUAUGGAGAGAUGAAGAGACGGAGACGCUACAAAUCAUGGAGAGAUAGAGAUAACUUUCUUUUAGUUUUCAUAAGGAUCCGAAUUGAGGAAGAAGAAGAAAAAGAAAUCGAGAAGGUGGAGAAUUGGAAAGAAACGAAAAUUGCGAAUUGAAGAGGUGGGCUGAGAUUGUUUUUAGAGAUCUCAACCGUUUGUUAACUUGUUUUAAUCUUAUUGACCCCGUGUUUAAGUAGAUACCACAUCAAACAAAACCAAUCGAACCGGUUUAGCAAUUAAUGAUUCAAUUUGGGAAGGAUAGAAUUGUCUUUAUUUUCUCCAGAAACAAGAAAAAGUGUCUGAACAAUAGAAAGUGCCUCAAACAUAAAAACAUUUCUUAAAAGUGCCUAAUAAUGCAACAUUCCUUUUU